rnacentral:lncRNA from 1 species
UUUUGUCUUGUGGGAAUGGGGUAAAGGUCACUGAAAUCGUUAUAUCUCAUUAAAAGUGUUCCUGCCUGAAAUCCAUUCACAGAAAAAUCGAAAGGGUCAAAUUCAAUUGAGACAACACUAUCAAUGGUAAUUUUUAUGACAAAAACAAUUUUUUUUUAUAAGUUUCAGGUUAUGUUCGACAUUGUUUAAUGUUAGGAAACUUAGUAAAAAUGCAUGUUCACAACCUAUAAUAGGAAUAUGAUGACCAUUUCCAACAAUAAUAUUA